CUGAAAGUGAAGAAUUCAAGACUGAAAGUGAAGAAUUCCAGACUGAAAGUGAAGAAUCCCAAUGUGAUCAUGUCUGUGGCAUUGUCUUUCAAAUGUGCUGACCUUGAAAACCAUACAAAGACACGUUCACAUGAUGGUAUUUCACAAUCCUCUAAUUUGAAAAUGAUGAAUAAGACACCUAAUGAAGAUAAACUGAUAUUUUGAAGAUAGUUGCCUUUCAAAGACCAUACAUCCAGAUCAAGUGAAGCGGCUGUGGUGCUAGUGUUGGUGGUGGCGGCAGGCGGGUGAGUGGUAACUUGAGAGGUGCCCGAAGCUAAGCUGGAGGAG